UCGUUAUUAACUUCUGUAAAUCCAAAUUUCACAACAAAAAAAGUUCUCUUGGAACAAAAGUGGAAAGUAAUAUGUGAUCCAUUUAACCACAAAAAAAAGGUCACGAAAGUCAUCACCGUGCAAUUAACGAGUUGGGUUGGGAUGAAGGGCAGUUGGAAUCGCCACUGGACAGAUUCAUGUUCGGUGGCAGCCACCCUCUAUCCAUCACCAUCCAAAUCAUUCAAUCAACAAUAACGACCAUGACGCCUUUGGAAGAACCUCCAUGGACUUCCAACUCGACAGAUAAGUGAUUCU
rnacentral:lncRNA from 1 species